GAUGAACGCUGGCGGCGUGCCUAAUACAUGCAAGUCGAACGGUCCCGGCCCUUCGGGGUUUGGGAUAGUGGCGAACGGGUGAGUAACGCGUGGGUGACCUGCCCCGAAGCGGGGGAUAACAGCCUGAAAGGGUUGCUAAUACCCCAUGUGCUGGGUUGGCUUAGCGGCCGGCCCAGGAAAGGCGAAAGCCACUUUGGGAGGGGCCUGCGUCCCAUCAGCUAGUUGGUGUGGUAACGGCGCACCAAGGCGAUGACGGGUAGGGGACCUGAGAGGGUGGCCCCCCACAAUGGAACUGAAACACGGUCCAUACACCUACGGGUGGCAGCAGUAGGGAAUAUUGCAAAAUGGGCGCAAGCCUGAUGCAGCAACGCCGCGUGGGCGAUGAAGGCCUUCGGGUCGUAAAGCCCUUUUGGGAGGGACGAGGAAGGACGGUACCUCCCGAAUAAGCCUCGGCUAACACGUG
rnacentral:rRNA from 1 species